CAUUUGACCUCAAAGAGUGAUGUCUACAGUUUUGGAGUAGUUUUGCUUGAAAUGCUGACUGGCCGAAGAUCUAUGGACAAAAACCGCCCAAAUGGGGAGCACAACCUUGUUGAAUGGGCAAGACCUCAUUUCGGAGAUAGGAGAAGGUUCUACCGGUUAUUAGACCCUCGUCUUGAAGGUCACUUUUCAAUAAAAGGUGCUCCGAAAGCCAUACAACUGGCCGCCCAGUGUCUUAGCCGUGAUCCCAAAGCUAGACCCCGAAUGAGUGAAGUUGUUGAAACACUAAAGCCUUUGCCCAACUUGAAGGAUAUGGCCAGCUCUUCCUAUUAUUUCCAGGCUAUGCAAGCAGAUCGUAACAAGUCAAGUUUGCAUAAUAAAAAUGGCAUCAGAACACAAGGAGGAUUUGUAACAAGGAAUGGACAACCACUGAGGAGCUUAUCCAGUAUAAGUGAUUCACGUGCUUCUCCAUAUAACCAGCCAUACCAGUCACCGAAACCUAAUGGGAAAAAAUCAUAGCAAUAUAGUUGUGUGUGUGUGUGUAUCUUCAACUGGCUCCUCUUGGUCAGUAGUUUCAUCAGUCACAUAUGUUAAGUAAAAGAAAUAGUACAGAGGGUGGUUCCAUCACUUUUCUCUGUGNNNGAGAGAUGAUUUUUUGUUAUCCAUCUGUUACACAUGAAAGGUGAAAUUACGGAACAAUGCUCCUCAACUUAUACGGUGCCAUUGUGGUAUGUAAUCAUCGAAUCAAAGAGUCCCAUGUCCUUUGCUUCCUGUUUGAUUACUUUCUCUUAUGAAUUGUCUGUUGAGAUAUUGAAGUAGUAUUGGAGAUUGACAAGAUGCUGGGAAAUAUGAAAAAGCUGUGACGGCUAUUGGUGGUAAGCUUUGAGGUACAGUAUAGGUGGAUGAGAAGGGAAUUUUAAUUUGGUUUUUGAUGUCAUCAUCCCAAGAUGCUGGUUUUCACAUCCCUCUCUACCUUCAAAUUAACCUACCUUCUUUUUCUAUUUUAAGCUCAUUGUUGUUUCUAUGCAAAUGGAUCUCUCUACUAUGGAACUGAUGUAAAUAAAUGGUUGUCUUCAAAUAUGGGUCUUUGAGCAAUUUCUCUCUAAAUUUAUAGGGUACUUUGCAAAGGAAAGAAGAGGGUGAUGCAUAUUUUUCCUUCUU
rnacentral:misc_RNA from 1 species